rnacentral:rRNA from 1 species
GUCUACAGCCAUGCUACCCUGAACAAGCCUGAUCCUGUCUGAUCUCGGAAGCUAAGCAGGGUCGGGCCUGGUUAGUACCUGGAUAGGAGACCACCUAGGAAGCCCAGGUGCUGUAGGUG